rnacentral:rRNA from 1 species
UACGUAGGGUGCAAGCGUUAAUCGGAAUUACUGGGCGUAAAGCGUGCGCAGGCGGUUUUGUAAGUCUGUCGUGAAAUCCCCGGGCUUAACCUGGGAAUGGCGAUGGAGACUGCAAGGCUAGAGUUUGGCAGAGGGGGGUAGAAUUCCACGUGUAGCAGUGAAAUGCGUAGAGAUGUGGAGGAACACCGAUGGCGAAGGCAGCCCCCUGGGUCAAAACUGACGCUCAUGCACGAGAGCGUGGGGAGCAAACAGG